GAUGAACGCUGGCGGCGUGCCUAAUACAUGCAAGUCGAGCGAACAGAUAAGGAGCUUGCUCCUUUGACGUUAGCGGCGAACGGGUGAGUAACACGUGGGUAACCUACCUAUAAGACUGGAAUAACUCCGGGAAACCGGGGCUAAUGCCGGAUAACAUUUAGAACCGCAUGGUUCUAAAGUGAAAGAUGGUUUUGCUAUCACUUAUAGAUGGACCCGCGCCGUAUUAGCUAGUUGGUAAGGUAACGGCUUACCAAGGCAACGAUACGUAGCCGACCUGAGAGGGUGAUCGGCCACACUGGAACUGAGACACGGUCCAGACUCCUACGGGAGGCAGCAGUAGGGAAUCUUCCGCAAUGGGCGAAAGCCUGACGGAGCAACGCCGCGUGAGUGAUGAAGGUCUUCGGAUCGUAAAACUCUGUUAUUAGGGAAGAACAAAUGUGUAAGUAACUGUGCACGUCUUGACGGUACCUAAUCAGAAAGCCACGGCUAACUACGUG
rnacentral:rRNA from 1 species